rnacentral:rRNA from 1 species
UACGUAGGGGGCGAGCGUUGUCCGGAGUUACUGGGCGUAAAGCGCUUGUAGGCGGUCCACCAAGUUUGGGGUGACAGUUGCCGACUUAAUCGGCAAAGUGCCUCAAAGACUGGCGGACUUGAGGGCCACAGAGGGACAUGGAACUCCAGGUGUAGCGGUGAAAUGCGUAGAUAUCUGGAAGAACACCAAAGGCGAAGGCAGUGUCCUGGGUGGUCGCUGACGCUGAGAGGCGAAAGCCAGGGGAGCGAACGGG